UCAAUGGUGUCUUUAGACACCACCCUUAUCUUUGAAUUUUUUUUAU
rfam:Picea glauca, whole genome shotgun sequence.